AUGUCUCAUGAGGCCAACACAGUACUUCAAAACCAAACACUUAUGAAUUUCUUCUCAACGAUCAUUGCUGCAGCCCCAGGGAAAAUCAAGACAGCUGUGAGUGGUCAUGGAAGCUCACAGAUCAUAAAUUUGCUGUUGCUCAACUGACCCAUCAAUCAAGUGGGAGCCAGGAGUAUCCCCUCAGAAUUUCUCCAGACUUAAUGUUCCAGGAAAGCUGAUUACACUUUACUCCUUUUGGCAGCCCAUAUAAUAAUAGUGCAACCAAACAGGAAAAGAAUAAAGAGGAGAGACAGAGAACAUUGAGGUAGUAAUAAAAUUCAUCCACAAGCUGACCACCCAGAAAUAAUCAAUUUUGUGCAUAUCCUUUUUGUCAUUAUUUUAGAAUCCAUUAUAUUUCCUGG
ensembl:lincRNA